UGCCAGCCGCCGCGGUAAUACGGAGGGGGCUAGCGUUGUUCGGAAUUAUUGGGCGUAAAGCGUGUGUAGGCGGUUCGUUAAGUCUGAUGUGAAAGCCCGGGGCUCAACCCCGGAAGUGCAUUGGAAACUGGCGAACUUGAGUACGGGAGAGGAAAGUGGAAUUCCGAGUGUAGGGGUGAAAUCCGUAGAUAUUCGGAGGAACACCGGUGGCGAAGGCGACACCCUGGCCCGAGACUGACGCUCAUGCACGAAAGCGUGGGUAGCAAACAAGAUUAGAUA
rnacentral:rRNA from 1 species